rnacentral:rRNA from 1 species
UACAGAGGGUGCGAGCGUUAAUCGGAAUUCCUGGGCGUAAAUCGUGCGUAGACGGUUAUUUAAGUCGGGUGUGAAAGCCCCGGGCUCAACCUGGGAAUUGCAUUCGAGACUGAAUAGCUAGGGUACGGUAGAGGGAAGCGGAAUUUCCGGUGUAGCGGUGAAAUGCGUAGAUAUCGGAAGGAACAUCAGUGGCGAAAGCGGCUUCCUGGACCAGUACCGACGUUCAGGCACGAAAGCGUGGGGAGCAAACAGG